rnacentral:rRNA from 1 species
CAGUCGCCACGGUAAUACGAAGGGUGCAAGCGUUAAUCGGAAUUACUGGGCGUAAAGCGUGCGUAGGCGGUUUGUUAAGUCUGUUGUGAAAUCCCCGGGCUCAACCUGGGAAUGGCAAUGGAUACUGGCAAGCUAGAGUGUGUCAGAGGAUGGUGGAAUUCCCGGUGUAGCGGUGAAAUGCGUAGAGAUCGGGAGGAACAUCAGUGGCGAAGGCGGCCACCUGGGACAACACUGACGCUGAGGCACGAAAGCGUGGGGAGCAAACAGGAUUAGAUACCCCCGUAGUCCCUGUCUCUUAUAA